rnacentral:ncRNA from 2 species
UCGCACCGCUAGGGGUCCUGGCGCUCAAGCUCAUGCUUGGGUAGCCGGGUGAGAAAUACCCUUGAACCUGAUCUGGAUAAUGCCAGCGAAGGGAAGCAACCGGCAGCUUGA